rnacentral:pre_miRNA from 14 species
GGACACCCACCGGGACUGGCCAGUGUUGAGAGGCGGAGACACGGGCAAUUGCUGGACGCUGCCCUGGGCAUUGCACUUGUCUCGGUCUGACAGUGCCGGCCCAACACUGCAGAUGUGGGG